rnacentral:ncRNA from 1 species
AAAUGGCAAUGAGGCGAAGAAACAUAGUCCCCAUAUGGACGCCAUGGGAGUAUGUGGAGCGGGUGGCGUAACCUGCAUUGCAAUUU